UACAGAGGUCCCGAGCGUUGUUCGGAUUCAUUGGGCGUAAAGGGUGCGUAGGCGGCGGGGCAAGUCUGAUGUGAAAUCCCGGGGCUCAACCCCGGAACUGCAUUGGAUACUGCCUUGCUUGAGUACUGGAGAGGGAACUGGAAUUUACGGUGUAGCAGUGAAAUGCGUAGAUAUCGUAAGGAAGGCCAGUGGCGAAGGCGAGUCCCUGGACAACUCCUGACACUGAUGCACGAAAGCUAGGGGAGCAAACAGG
rnacentral:rRNA from 1 species